UACAGAGAUGGCUAGCGUUGUUCGGAUUCAUUGGGUGUAAAGGGUGCGUAGGCGGUUUGGAAAGUCAGAUGUGAAAGCCUAGAGCUUAACUCUAGAAAUGCAUUUGAAACUUCCAGGCUGGAGUAUGGGAGAGGUGAAGGGAAUUCCCGGUGUAAGGGUGAAAUCUGUAGAGAUCGGGAGGAACACCAGUGGCGAAGGCGCUUCACUGGCCCAUAACUGACGCUGAGUGCACGAAGGCAUGGGGAGCAAACGGG
rnacentral:rRNA from 1 species